UACGAGGGGUGCAAGCGUUGCUCGGAAUUAUUGGGCGUAAAGGGUUGGUAGGUGGUCUUGUUUGUCUAAGGUGAAAUCCCAUGGCUUAACUGUGGAAGUGCCUUAGAAACGGCAAGACUAGAGUCCGGAAGAGGCGAGUGGAAUUCCUGGUGUAGCGGUGGAAUGCGCAGAUAUCAGGAGGAACACCAAUAGCGAAGGCAGCUCGCUGGGACGGUACUGACGCUAAGGCGCGAAAGCGUGGGGAGCGAACAGG
rnacentral:rRNA from 1 species